rnacentral:rRNA from 1 species
CUUGCUUCUGAUUGAUAACAUUUGAGUGAGUGGCGGACGGGUGAGUAACACUGGGUAACCUGCCCUAAAUGGGGGAUAACAUUUGGAAACAGAUGCUAAUACCGUAUAACAACAAAAUCCGCAUGGAUUUUGUUUGAAAGGUGACUUCGGCUAUCACUUCUGGAUGAUCCCGCGGCGUAUUAGUUAGUUGGUGAGGUAAAGGCCCACCAAGACGAUGAUACGUAGCCGACCUGAGAGGGUAAUCGGCCACAUUGGGACUGAGACACGGCCCAAACUCC